GACAAGUGACCUCUCAAAGCGAAGGAGACAAGUGAUCACUCAAAGCAUAUUACUGAUAUAAGAAAGCAAUGCGCACCAAAUACUUGACAAGUGACCACUUUGUAUCUUUAGGACAAGUGACCACUCAAGGCGAAAGGGACAAGUUCCGACCAGAGAUGGAAGGAACGCUUUUAUUAGAUCAAAACCAAUCGGUGGCGGGCUUUGCUCGUCCACCGUUUACUUUGGUGACUCUGAAUAACUUUGUGCUGAUCGCACGGUCUCGUACCGGCGACGCAUCUUUCAAAUGUCUGCCUUAUCAACUGUCGAUGGUAGGUUCUGCGCCUACCAUGGUUGUAACGGGUAACGGGGAAUCAGGGUUCGAUUCCGGAGAGGGAGCCUGAGAAACGGCUACCACAUCCAAGGAAGGCAGCAGGCGCGCAAAUUACCCACUCCCGGCACGGGGAGGUAGUGACGAAAAAUAACGAUACGGGACUCAUCCGAGGCCCCGUAAUCGGAAUGAGUACACUUUAAAUCCUUUAACGAGGAUCAAUUGGAGGGCAAGUCUGGUGCCAGCAGCCGCGGUAAUUCCAGCUCCAAUAGCGUAUAUUAAAGUUGUUGCGGUUAAAAAGCUCGUAGUUGAAUCUGUGUCGCACGCUGUCGGUUCGCCGCUCGCGGUGUUUAACUGACAUGCUCGUGAGACGUCCUACCGGUGGGCUUAGCUCCUUCGGGGGCGGUCCAACUAAUAUCCCAUCGCGGUGCUCUUUAUUGAGUGUCGAGGUGGGCCGGUACGUUUACUUUGAACAAAUUAGAGUGCUUAAAGCAGGCUAUCAUUUGCCUGAAUAUUCUGUGCAUGGAAUAAUGGAAUAGGACCUCGGUUCUAUUUUGUUGGUUUUAAGAAACCCGAGGUAAUGAUUAAUAGGGACAGAUGGGGGCAUUCGUAUUGCGACGUUAGAGGUGAAAUUCUUGGAUCGUCGCAAGACGGACAGAAGCGAAAGCAUUUGCCAAAAAUGUUUUCAUUAAUCAAGAACGAAAGUUAGAGGUUCGAAGGCGAUCAGAUACCGCCCUAGUUCUAACCAUAAACGAUGCCAGCUAGCGAUCCGCCGAAGUUCCUCCGAUGACUCGGCGGGCAGCUUCCGGGAAACCAAAGCUUUUGGGUUCCGGGGGAAGUAUGGUUGCAAAGCUGAAACUUAAAGGAAUUGACGGAAGGGCACCACCAG
rnacentral:rRNA from 1 species